UAAGGUCAAAUGGGCUCAUAAUUCUUUUUCUAAACAAAUAAGUUGGAGGUGUUAUAGUGGGCUUUGGGGCUUUGGUCUGCUACACAUAUAUAUGGGUGCUCCGAAACCCUAACAUCUUUUUCUACAAACCUCAUUCCAAAUUUUGCCCUAGUUCAAGAUGCGCACACCUCCAACAAAACCUCACAAGCCUCCGCCUAAUCAGAACUCCAAAAUCUCGCCGGAAAUCAAAUCUUCAUCAUCUCGGUCGUUUUCAGUCAUUCAGAUCUAGGAUUUACGGAGAUGCCGCAAGGGAAAUGGUUGUGGUGUGGUUAAACCUUCAAGGCGAAGAUACCACAGCUCCAGAUUCUUAAAGUUUGCAAGAAGAUGAUACUUACAAGAGCUUUUAAACUUAAAUAGAUGUCCAACAUAUUGGGAAGAAAGACUUCAGAAUGAAAGAGUGAAAGAAUUCGACAGGCAAAAGAACACGGGGAAUCCUAGUCCCGGGCAUUUCUAGGGGCAGUGAUUGGAAAUCCGGUGGUAGCCGCCAGCUCGAGACACUACCAGACUUAAGUUCAAGGUUGAAGACCGUCUUGAUUCAAUCUUUUUACAGCAAUAACAGUUCCUGUGCCGGGUUUGGCUGCGUGACACAAGAACAAAGAGACAAUGCUUUCCUUGAAGCUCUUAGACACAACUAUGGGAAGUCUCCUAAUGAGAGGGCGGUGAUUGGAAAUCCGGUGGUAGCCGCCAGCUCGAGACACUACCAGACUUAAGUUCAAGGCUGAGUUGCCCGUAAAUUCAAAACUACAUAUCCUAGAGGGGCGGUGAUUGGAAAUCCGGUGGUAGCCGCCAGCUCGAGACACUACCAGACUUAAGUUCAAGGCUGAGUUGCCCAUAAAUUCAAGGCUACAUAUCCUAGAGGGUUUCAUCGGACGAUGCACAGCCUACAGUUUUGGUUAACGAAGAUGAAGCAUCUGAGCCGACUUUUCUGGAGUUUAUUACAUCAGAGAGAGUUAAAGUUGUUGCGAUGUUGGCGUUGGCGUUGGCGCUGUGUAAUGCGGAUCGUGUUGUGAUGUCGGUUACGAUUGUUCCGUUGUCACAGCCUCGUGUCUGGAGUCAGGCUUUUGCUGGUAGUUUUUUAAGCUUAGUGGUGUGUUAUGUGAGUUUGAUUUGUGGUUAUGUUGCUGUUCUAGGGCUAAGGUUGAAUGUAAACUUUGUGAUGCAUGAUUAGUUAAUUGUAUAUUAGUUAAUUGUAUAUUUGGUAGGCAUGAUAAGAUGAAUGUUGAAUAAUUGGAUUAGAGAUUUAAUAGAUUGUGUUUAUAAUUGAUGCA